GUGGGGAAUCUUCCGCAAUGGACGAAAGUCUGACGGAGCAACGCCGCGUGAGUGAAGAAGGUUUUCGGAUCGUAAAGCUCUUUCGUUAGGGACGAACGUGCUCUUUGUGAAUAAUGAGGAGUAAUGACGGUACCUAAAUAAGAAGCCACGGCUAACUACGUGCCAGCAGCCGCGGUAAUACGUAGGUGGCAAGCGUUGUCCGGAAUUAUUGGGCGUAAAGCGCGCGCAGGCGGGAUAUCAAGUCUGUCUUAAAAGUGCGAGGCUCAACCUCGUGAGGGGACAGAAACUGGUAUUCUUGGGUGUCGGAGAGGAAAGUGGAAUUCCAAGUGUAGCGGUGAAAUGCGUAGAGAUUUGGAAGAACACCAGUGGCGAAGGCGACUUUCUGGACGAUGUCUGACGCUGAGGCGCGAAAGCUAGGGGAGCGAACGGGAUUAGAAACCCCUGUAGUCC
rnacentral:rRNA from 1 species